GGAAAAACCCAAGCUGCCCUCGCCCCAAACGUGGAAGUUGUUAUAAAUGCAUCAUUAGCUGAAAGAAGCCUGGCACAGAAGAUGACCUUUUAAAGACAGCACUUAUCCAAGAUUCAGGAGUGGGCGACAAGCAACUAUGAGACACAAGCGACCCGCCAUGUUGGUGACAAAUAUUCUAUCUGCUGCACUUAUGAAAAUGGCAGGAAAAUACCAACAAAUGCAUCACUGGAACCUUCAAAAUGGAGCUGGGAGACUGCGUGGGGAAAGUCAAGGAUGUCUUCUCUAUCCUCAGAGAGAAAAUGAAGUUUCAAAGGGCAGAAUUACAGUUUGGUUUUACAAUCUUACUUGAUUUUGUUUCUUAGUCUGGAAUUGGGCAACCUUUCAUUACAUAAAAAGCAAUUAAGUACUCCCAUGAGAACAGCAGAAAAAGUUGUGUUUUUUUUUUCCUUUUAUUUUAAAAUACCUCAAGUUGUCCUCAAACUAUGUAGCCAAGGAUAGCCUUGAAAUUCUUGGGCUGGAGAGAUGACUCAGAGGUUAAGAGCACCAACUACUAUUCCAGAGG
rnacentral:lncRNA from 1 species